rnacentral:lncRNA from 10 species
CCUUGAACAAGCUGGGUCUGUUCAGGGAACAAAAAGACAUAGUGUGCUGGGAGUGGUGUGAGCUGAGAGACUGGGAGAGCGCCUGGAGUGAGGGUGGACGGGUGGGUUCAAGUCGGGGAAAGGCGCACCUGAUUCAGUUAUAAAAAGGUUAUUCUCGCUGCUGUGUGGGGAAACCAUCAGAGGCCUUGGGAUGUUUUGACUUUGGUUUCCUUCACUUCCAAUGGGUGGUCUCUGUCUCUUCUGUUAACUUCCAGGGGAAAAAUCUGUGAUUGACCUGGCUGAGACCUUCGCCCCAUACGUAAGUUGCCGGCCAGCCAGUGGGUUGGCUGCCCCAGGGCCAGACGGUCGGACUCAGUCACACAGGGUUGCCCUUGGAAGAGGGGCCCUGUUUGGUUUGACCUUCUGUUGUUGUUGUCUUGAAAUUCCAAAUGCAUUUUGAACAAGUGGCACUCCUUUUUUAUUUUGCACUGGGCCCUGUCAAUUAUGAAGCCAGUCCUGCACCCCAGCUCCAAUCUGUGGUCAGCCCUGGCUCAAUGACUUGCUCCAGGCCUUAAAAAAAAAAUUAAUUAAAUCAGCAGUGAGCUGUGGAUGAUGGUAUUUCCCUGAGGCCAGGCUGGUGUGGUGGGUGAGGCAGGAACCCUGAGGGAUGUGGCUGGUGCCUUAGCUCAGAGCUGCAGGGGAAAAACCAUCGCCUUUGCCACUCAGGGUGCUGAACCCCAGCAAACAACCCCUGUGAGAUCCACGUAUACACCUAUGAGGGGUGGGGUGAGGAGGGUUGCUGGGGACCCCCAGGACUUAGAAAGCUGAGCCAGCCUUUCUGCCUUUUAAUUUAUUUAACCAAGGUCUCUGGGUGGAAGAACCUCAUGCAGGUCCUGUUAUAAAAGAGACUACUCAAUAAAGCACAGGUGGCAGGCCAAGAAAAUCCAGGCUGUCUUGGGCGGUCAGCUGGGCCUCCUGAGGCAGAGGACUGGGGUUGUUCCCAAGGCUUCUGGGCAUCCCGAGAGAUCCAAGACUCUGGGGUCCAUCCGGGGAGUGGCUGUGGAGCAGCUAAGAGGGGAAGUGGGCAUUAGACAUGUCCUCUCUGGAAAGAAAAAGGUGAACACCCAGGAGAAGAGCUAGCAGGGAGAAGGAGGAGCGGGCCAAUCACGAAGGAGAAAGUCCUAGAUGGAGCCUUCUCAUCCUCAGAAACCACACUGGUUAAAUCAGUGGAUCUUAACUUUGGCUGCAUAUCGGCAUCACCACAGGAAGUUUCAAAAAUUCCAGUGCCUGAGUCCCACCACAGGGAUUCUGAUUUAAUGGGUUUGGGGGGCGGCUUGGCUUUGGGGAUUUUUAAAAGCUCCCUAGGUGAUUCCUAGAGUCAGCCAACUUUGCAAACCAUGGAGUUAAAAACCCAAAACACAAACUUAUUUGCUUCGGUCCUGAAGGAUCUCAGCUGACUGUAGUUGGCCUGGUUAUUGUGAGCAAAUCUGAUUAAGGUCACAGUUCUUAGCAGCUGUGUGAUCUUGGGAUGGUCUCUAACCUCUGGGAUGCUCCUCUGUAGAAUUGUGAUGCUGUGAAGAUUGGAUGAGCUAAAGAGCUGGGCAUGGGGUGGAGGCCACCAGUAGGCGACAGCUAUUGAGUGUCUUGCAUGACUAUAGGAUGGCAAAUAAUUCUCAAUAUGC